rnacentral:lncRNA from 1 species
UGACACACACCCCCUCCCCUAGACAAACUGGACAGAUCCCUUUCACUUCUAGGGCAGUGGGAUAUUCUGAGUAUCCCAAGUUUCUCUCUCAGUAGCUCUGUCCCUACCAUGAAACCUCUGUGUACUGGAGUUCUAAGUACCGAUUCUGAAAGUUUAGCCUUAGAGCGGCAGGGAAUAAGAAGCCAAUGUAGGUCAAAACUUCCUUCUCCUUUGCAGACGACUGGGAUGCCCCUAGCAGGAAGAAGUUUGAACAUGGCCCUCUCUGCCCCAGACUCAAGUCAUACAUCCACUCCUACAGUCCUGAGUGGGUGGACACCCGUGGGGUCUGUUACACGCAGCUUCUUGCUUUGUGCCUACAUUUUUGGUCAAAAAAUUUUCCCUCCCAUCUCACGAAGCCCCCAGAACACUUUUCAUCCAAAAUAUUUUUUAAGCCUGAAAGAUGACCCUAAGCCAAAUUCA